rnacentral:rRNA from 1 species
CGUAGGUGGCAAGCGUUGUCCGGAAUUAUUGGGCGUAAAGCGCGCGCAGGCGGCUUCUUAAGUCUGAUGUGAAAUCUUGCGGCUCAACCGCAAGAGGUCAUUGGAAACUGGGAGGCUUGAGUGCAGAAGAGGAGAGUGGAAUUCCACGUGUAGCGGUGAAAUGCGUAGAGAUGUGGAGGAACACCAGUGGCGAAGGCGGCUCUCUGGUCUGUAACUGACGCUGAGGCGCGAAAGCGUGGGAGCAAACAGGAUU